UGCAGUCGAGGGGUAGAGUUCUUCGGAGCUUGAGACCGGCGCACGGGUGCGUAACGCGUAUGCAAUCUACCUUUUACAGAGGGAUAGCCCAGAGAAAUUUGGAUUAAUACCUCAUAGUAUAAUUGAAUGGCAUCAUUUAAUUAUUAAAGUCACAACGGUAAAAGAUGAGCAUGCGUCCCAUUAGCUAGUUGGUAAGGUAACGGCUUACCAAGGCUACGAUGGGUAGGGGUCCUGAGAGGGAGAUCCCCCACACUG
rnacentral:rRNA from 1 species